rnacentral:pre_miRNA from 1 species
GUACCCUGAUGGAGCUCUGGCUGUGACUUGUGUUAAAAUUAUUAAAAUCACAUCACAGGCAGAGUUCUAGUUAGGUAA